rnacentral:lncRNA from 1 species
AGCUAUUGUGAAUUGUGCUGCUAUAAACAUUGAUGUGGCUGUGUCCCUGUAUUAUGCUGUUUUUAAGUCCUUUGAGUAUAGACCAAGGAGAGGGAUAGCUGGGUCAAAUGGUGGUUCCAUUCCCAGAUUUCCAAGGAAUCUCCAUAAUGCUUUCCAUAUUGGCUGCACCAAUUUGCAGUCCCACCAGCAAUGUAUGAGUGUACCUUUUUCCUCACAUCCUCGCCAACACUUAUUGUUGUUUGUCUUCAUAAUAGCUGCCAUUCUGACUGGAGUGAGAUGA